rnacentral:rRNA from 1 species
AUUGAACGCUGGCGGCAGGCCUAAUACAUGCAAGUCGAACGGUAACAUAAGAAAAGCUUGCUUUCUUGAUGACGAGUGGCGGACGGGUGAGUAAAUAUUUGGGAAACUACCUGAUAGAGGGGGACAACAGUUGGAAACGACUGCUAAUACCGCAUACAGCCUUAGGGUGAAAGAAGCGAUUCGCUAUCAGAUGUGCCCGAAACGGGAUUAGCUAGUAGGUGAAGGUAAAGGCUCACCUAGGCGACGAUCUCUAGCUGGUCUGAGAGGAUGAUCAGCCACAUUGGGACUGAGACACGGCCCAGACUCCUACGGGAGGCAGCAGUAGGGAAUAUUGCACAAUGGAGGAAACUCUGAUGCAGCCAUGCCGCGUGUGUGAAGAAGGCCGUUCGGGUUAGUAAAGCUACUUCGGGAGGGGAGGAAAAAAAUGACGUUACCCUCAGAAGAAGCACCGGCUAACUCCGUG